GUAACAGGUCUUCGGAUGCUGACGAGUGGCGAACGGGUGAGUAAUACAUCGGAACGUGCCCGAUCGUGGGGGAUAACGGAGCGAAAGCUUUGCUAAUACCGCAUACCAUCUACGGAUGAAAGCAGGGGACCGCAAGGCCUUGCGCGGACGGAGCGGCCGAUGGCAGAUUAGGUAGUUGGUGGGAUAAAAGCUUACCAAGCCCACUAUCUGUAACUGGUCUGAGAGGACGACCAGCCACACUGGGACUGAGACACGGCCCACACUCCUACGGGAGGCAGCAGUGGGGAAUUUUGGACAAUGGGCGAAAGCCUGAUCCAGCAUGCCGCGUGCAGGAUGAAGGCCUUCGGGUUGUAAACUGCUUUUGUACGGAACGAAAAGACUCCUUCUAAUAAAGGGGGUUCAUGACGGUACCGUAAGAAUAAGCACCGGCUAACUACUUGCCACCAGCCGCGGUAAUACUUAGGGUGCAAGCGUUAAUCGGAAUUACUGGGCGUAAAGCGUGCGCAGGCGGUUAUAUUAUACAGAUGUGAAAUCCCCGGGCUCAACCUGGGAACUGCAGUUGUGACUGUA
rnacentral:rRNA from 1 species